rnacentral:rRNA from 1 species
AUGCCCGGCUCCACCGUGCUGCUGAUCGCCGCCUCCAUGGCCGCGCUCCUCGUUAUCUCCCUCUUCACCUUCCUCUGCUCCAACCAGCGCCAGCGGAGCGUCGUCGACGUUGAGCUCGGUCAUGGGUGUGCGGCCGCAGGGAUCGACGAGGCCGUCCUGGCCACGUACACGACCACGGUGUACUCCUCGGCGGCGAGGCGACGGGACGAAGGCCAGAUGGCUGCUGCCGAAGCGUCGGCCGACGCGUGGGCUGCGGGGAAUCCGGGUCACACGCACACGACGUGCGCGGUGUGCCUGGCGGAGUACGCGGACGGCGACGAGCUCCGCCGGCUGCCCGGCUGCAAGCACGCGUUCCACCGGCUGUGUGUCGACGAGUGGCUCCGGCGGCGGCCGAGCUGCCCGCUCUGCCGCACAUCGCCGCCCGCCACGCGCGCACCGCCUGCGGCCACCACCGAUGACUCCUGA